AGUCAGCAGUGAGCACGGUUUCAGAACCUGCAGAGUUAGUACAGAGUCAGCCAGAGAUUUGCAGGUUCAGAGUCCAGAGGGAGUCCAGCAGGGUUUGGAAGAAGAAAAGUGAUGUAAUAGCUAGUAUGGACAUGAAAUUGUAUAAAGAGCUAGUGUAUAGUGUAUAGACUUGUGCUUGACUUAGAGAGUUGUAAUCCCUUGUUGUAUAUACAUGGUCAGUUUCUGUAUGUAUGUUUCCUUUAUUGAUGAUGUCUAUGAGAAAACCAGGCUUAACAC